UUGUAGAGAAGCAUGUUAGUAUAGAUGUCUGUGUUUCUCUUAAAUCGUGAAAAAAGAUUUCAUAACUUAUUUCAUAUACUUGUGUGGUGUUGUGUUUUAAAUUGCAAGAAAUCAAAUUGUGAAAAUACAAAUAUAAAACUUUUCUUUGCCAACAAAUGAAAAUAGAGCCCUCAUAUCUUCCAAAUCCAUAGCACGUUAAUGAUAUCACUUAUUAGUUUAAGCGAGAUGUUUAUGGAGCUCGUCAAAAAGUUUUCUAAUAUAUAUUUAAGAGAAAAAUAAUUUCAAUAAAAUAUGAAUGGAUCGUAGGAAUCGCGAAUUAUGAUGCAGUGGCAUAUCUUGGGUGCCUCAAAAUUUAUGUUUUAUGGUAAUAUGAUAAACAAAUGCAUUUUUUAUAUUAAUUUACGGUGUAUAAUAACCAGACAUAGGGAAUUGAUACUCCUUAAAAAUUUAGUUGACCAAAAUGUAUGUUAUUAUAUCAUGACAAGUA